rnacentral:rRNA from 1 species
GGGGGGGGGGGGGGGGGGGGGGGGGGGGGGGGGGGCGGGCGGGAGGGCGGGGGGGGCUGGCGCUGACGGGGGGCGGGGGGCGGGCGGGUGGGGGGUGCAGCGGGCUCUACUUUUUCGGGGGGGAUAACGUAGGGGACCGUACGCUAAUACCGCAUACGACCUACGGGUGGAAGCAGGGGAUCUUCGGCCCUUGCGCGAUUGAAUGAGCCGCUGUCGGAUUAGCUAGUUGGCGGGGUAAAGGCCCACCAAGGCGACGCUCCGUAGCUGGUCUGGUAGGAUGAUCAGCCACACUGGAACUGAGACACGGUCCAGACUCCUACGGGAGGCAGCAGUGGGGAAUAUUGGACAAUGGGCGCAAGCCUGAUCCAGCCAUACCGCGUGGGUGAAGAAGGCCUUCGGGUUGUAAAGCCCUUUUGUUGGGAAAGAAAAGCAGCAGGUUAAUACCCCGCUGUUCUGACGGUACCCAAAGAAUAAGCACCGGCUAACUUCGUG